GAUCAACGCUGGCGGCGUGCAUGAGACAUUCAAGUCGAACGAACGAGCUUGCUCGUUAGUGGCGGACGGCUGAGUAACGCGUAGGUGACCUGCCCCGAAGUGGGGGAUAACUGCCCGAAAGGGUGGCUAAUACCGCAUGUGGCGACGUCUUCCGUGACGUCAUCAAAGCCGCGAGGCGCUUCGGGAGGGGCCUGCGUCCGAUUAGCUCGUUGGUGGGGUAAUUGCUCACCAAGGCGACGAUCGGUAGGUGGUCUGAGAGGACGAUCACCCAGACUGGGACUGAGACACGGCCCAGACUCCUACGGGAGGCAGCAGUCGGGAAUUUUGCUCAAUGGGCGCAAGCCUGAAGCAGCAACGCCGCGUGAGGGAUGAAGGCCUUCGGGUUGUAAACCUCUUUUUCCAGGGACGAUGAUGACGGUACCUGAAGAAUAAGUCACGGCUAACUACGUGCCAGCAGCCGCAGUAAUAC
rnacentral:rRNA from 1 species